AGAGCCUUUCCAAGAUGUAUCCAAGUUCAUGCAGUUCCACCCACAGACAAGUGAGAGGCGCUGUAGGGCUCCGUAGAAAGUAAAAGGGGAGGAGCGGUAUCGGAGAGUAAAGUAGCCACACGGUCUGUCUGUAUGAUUGUGUGACCAGGCAUGCGCUCGCAUCUGAGAACCAACCGACGCUGAGCAGGGAGCGGAUGAAGAAGCGUUUGGUGGCAUCUGCGAACUCCCGACCACUCCGCUUACUUAUUGGCAACGGAAAGACAGUAGCUUCGACAGUUACAGCGGACACCUGACACUCAGCAACAGAAGGCCAACAUAAUACAUUUAGCUGUAAAAAGCAACAACAGUCUUUGCUGGAUAAAGACAGCAUUCACACAUAAGGACGAACGCCGGUGCUGAAGCUCAGCUGCUAGGGAGGUGUAGACGGCAAUACUCAGAUCUCAUUUGUCUGUGAUGAGAAUCGCCAUCCACCAGAGACCUAAGGCGUGCCCCCGUCAUCGUCUCCUCUGAAAGGAAGAGGAAGUGAUGUCACGUCACCACAACCGCUUCGAGAGGGAGUACCGGGGGAUGCCGUGGGAGAGGCGGGACAUCAUCCGUCCGACUGGCCUCCUCAACGGAUCGGGAGCCAAUAACAGCUGCCCAGCCGUCAACGGUAACAAUCGCCCGGGACUCCUCCCACUGCCCGUUAUCCCUUCCCUCUUGCCAACCCCGGUUACGGUUGCCGUGACGACAUCGAGUGGUGGUGACAUGGUUGUCAAGCGUCAAGGAGGCGUCACAGUCACGGCCGCUGGUGCUGCCAAGGUAUCUGGUGUGUCUCCAGGGGAGAGGGAGAGCCAGGCUCCAGGUCUGCUGUUAGCUCCAGGGGUGAGGUGGGGACAGACACCCAUCAACCAGCUCACACCCUGGGAGACUGAUGAACCUCCUGCCAAACAACAGCACAGAGACUGUGAACCCAUAGGUCCUCCAUGGGUACCUUCUGGAGCAGCAGUGACCAAGUCCAGUCUCCUGCCCCACUCCUACCCCCUCCAGCCCCCCUCCUUCAGCCACAGUGUCACUGUCCAGUGCCCUAUUAUAGGUCUGACUCCCUCCAUCCAGUCACCCAUGCCCCUCCACCCCCACCCGCUCAUGACAGCCCACUUCCAGCUACCCCCGCACUCCACUGCCCACCAACCCCCCGCCAUGGUGCUCAAAAUGCCCUACCAGCCACCCUAUCCCUUGGCCCAGCCCCCUGUCUUCUCCUCGCCCCUCUCUACCCCCUCAGGUGGUCCCAGGGGAGCUCACCCCAACCAACAAAACCACAGAAUGAUGGGGAACGGUCAUCUGACGCCUCACCCCCCUCCUCACCACUCUCACCCAACUCACCCUCUCAUACAGCCCCAUGCCCUGCCUCUGACCAAUGGGCAGUUGGCGCGGCUAGUUCCUCCUACUCCAGUAGCCAAUCAGGAUGGUCCUAGAGGGCCCAAUGGGCUGCAGAUGCUGAGGACGGUGGGGAUGGGAAAGUACGAGUUCACAGACCCAGGACAUCCUAAAGAGAUGUUGAAGGAGUUGAACCAACAGCGCAGAGCGAAAGAGUUUACAGACCUGAAAAUAAUUGUUGAAGGCAAAGAGUUUGAAGUCCACCAAAAUGUUGUAGCUUCCUGCAGCCUUUAUUUCAAGGACCUGGUGAAAAGGUCGUCAGGGGAGACGAGGAGCGGGGAGAAGCUAGAGCUGCAGAUGAGCAACAUUGGAGCUGACGUGUUGGAGCUGCUGCUGGAGUUUGUCUACACGGGCUCUCUGGUCAUCGACUCAGCUAACGCCAAGACACUGCUAGAGGCCGCCAACAAGUUCCAAUUCAACACCUUCUGCAAAGUCGGUGUGUCCUUCCUAGAGAAACAGCUAACAGCAGGGAACUGUCUAGGUGUGCUGGGCAUGGCUGAGGCUAUGCGAUGUACAGAGCUCCACAACAUGGCCAAAGCCUUUGCACUCCAGAACUUCCCUGAGGCAGCAGGUCAGGAGGAGAUUCUGAAUGUGUCUAAGGAGGACCUGGUGGCCUACCUGUCUAAUGACAGCCUCAAUACCAAGACUGAGGAACUGGUCUACGAGACUGCAAUCAAUUGGAUCAAACGAGACCCCACCUCCAGAGUACAGCAUGUAUCAGAGUUAUUAGCAGUGGUGCGCCUUCCCUUCAUCCACCCGUCCUACCUGCUGAACGUUGUGGACAACGAGGAGUUAAUAAAGACGUCGGAAGCAUGUCGAGACCUGGUCAACGAGGCCAAGCGAUAUCACAUGUUACCUCACGCCAGACAGGAGAUGCAGACUCCUAGGACACGACCACGGCUAUCUGCAGGUGUAGCGGAGGUGAUAGUGUUAAUCGGUGGUCGCCAGGCCAUCGGUAUGAACCAGCGGUCUCUGACGGCGGUGACGUGUUUUAACCCUCAGAACAGUAAGUGGCACCCACUGGCCAGCCUGCCCUUCUACGACCGAGAGUUAUUCAGCGUCAUCUCAGCAGGGGACAACAUCUACCUGUCAGAUCUGUGUUCCUCCAGAGGUCCAUCUGUUCUCUCUUCCACACUCCUACACAGAGUUAGACCUUGACAUUGGACCCUGAAACGGCACUACUACGAUUCGUCCUGCUGCAUGUUCCCCUCUACCUCAUUUCAUAUAAAUGUGGGACAGAGUCGGGUAUGACGGUAACUGAUGUGUGGUGCUACAUGUCUCUAUUGGACAAUUGGAACCUGGUGUCUCGUAUGACGGUGCCUCGCUGCAGACACAACAG